UACGAAGGGUGCGAGCGUUAAUCGGAUUUACUGGGCGUAAAGGGAGCGUAGGUGGAUAUUUAAGUGGGAUGUGAAAUACCCGGGCUUAACCUGGGUGCUGCAUUCCAAACUGGAUAUCUAGAGUGCAGGAGAGGAAAGUAGAAUUCCUAGUGUAGCGGUGAAAUGCGUAGAGAUUAGGAAGAAUACCAGUGGCGAAGGCGGCUUUCUGGACUGUAACUGACACUGAGGCUCGAAAGCGUGGGGAGCAAACAGG
rnacentral:rRNA from 1 species